UAUGGAGAGUUUGAUUCUGGCUCAGAGUGAACGCUGGCGGCGUGGCUAAGACAUGCAAGUCGAGCGGGAUGAUGAUUGUAGCAAUACAUGAUUUUGAGAGCGGCAAACGGGUGAGUAACACAUAAGCAAUCUGCCUUGAAGUUUGGGAUAGCCCGGGGAAACUCGGAUUAAUACCGGAUGUGGUCCUUUCUCGCAUGGGGGAGGCACUAAAGCUUGCAACGGCGCUUCAAGAGGAGCUUAUGGCCUAUCAGCUAGUUGGCGGGAUAACAGCCCACCAAGGCAAAGACGGGUAGCGGGUCUGAGAGGACGAUCCGCCACACUGGAACUGAGACACGGUCCAGACACCUACGGGUGGCAGCAGUUUCGAAUCAUUCACAAUGGGGGAAACCCUGAUGGUGCGACGUCGCGUGGGGGAUGAAGGUCUUCGGAUUGUAAACCCCUGUCACAUGGGACUAAACGCAAGGUUCAUAGCCUUGCCUGAAUUAACCAUGAGAGGAAGCAGUGGCUAACUCCGUGCCAGCAGCCGCGGUAAUACGGAGACUGCGAGCGUUACUCGGAUUCACUGGGCGUAAAGGGAGCGCAGGCGGACAUGUGUGUUAGGUGUGAAAUCCCGGGGCUUAACUCCGGAAUUGCGCCUAAAACUAUGUGUCUAGAGACUUGGAGGGGUAAGCGGAAUUUGUGGAGUAGCGGUAAAAUGCGCAGAUAUCACAAGGAACACCGAUGGCGAAGGCAGCUUACUGGACAAGAUCUGACGCUCAGGCUCGAAAGCGUGGGUAGCAAAAGGGAUUAGAUACCCCUGUAGUCCACGCCCUAAACGUUGUACACUAGGUCUCGGGGGAUUCAUCCCCUUCGGGGCCCAAGCUAACGCGAUAAGUGUACCGCCUGAGGACUACGACCGCAAGGUUAAAACUCAAAGAAAUUGACGGGGACCCGCACAAGCGGUGGAGCAUGUGGCUUAAUUCGAUGCAACGCGAAGAACCUUACCUGGGUUUGACAUGUAUUGGAAUUUGGCUGAAAGGUCAAAGUCCUUCGGGACUGAUACACAGAUGCUGCAUGGCUGUCGUCAGCUCGUGUCGUGAGAUGUUCGGUUAAGUCCGGCAACGAGCGCAACCCUCGCCCCAUGUUACUCUUCGGAGGUCUCUUGGGGGACAAACCUGUUUUCAGGUGGGAAGGUGGGGAUGACGUCAAGUCAGUAUGGCUCUUACAUCCAGGGCUGCACACGUGCUACAAUGGCCGGUACAAUGGGUUGCUACACUGUAAAGUGAUGCUAAUCUUCAAAGCCGGUCCCAGUUCGGAUUGAGGUCUGCAACUCGACCUCAUGAAGCCGGAAUCGCUAGUAAAGGCGUAUCAGCAACGACGCCUUGAAUACGUUCCCGGGUCUUGUACACACCGCCCGUCAAGUCAUGAAAGCCGAUUUCGCCCGAAGUGCGUGAGCUAACCGCAAGGAAGCAGCGCCCUAAGGCAAGGUUGGUGAUUGGGACUAAGUCGUAACAAGGUAGCCGUAGGGGAACCUGCGGCUGGAUCACCUCCUU
rnacentral:rRNA from 1 species